rnacentral:rRNA from 1 species
AACGUGCCCAGUAAUGGGGGAUAGCCCGGCGAAAGCCGGAUUAAUACCGCAUACGACCUACGGGUGAAAGCGGGGGAUCGCAAGACCUCGCGUUAUUGGAGCGGCCGAUAUCAGAUUAGCUUGUUGGUGGGGUAAAAGCCUACCAAGGCGACGAUCUGUAGCUGGUCUGAGAGGACGACCAGCCACACUGGGACUGAGACACGGCCCAGACUCCUACGGGAGGCAGCAGUGGGGAAUUUUGGACAAUGGGCGCAAGCCUGAUCCAGCCAUGCCGCGUGCGG